UCACUUCUGCAGGCUGGGCGUUCCCCAGGCUGGGCUGGGCGAGUGUCUCUUUGAAAGGCUCCCCCUCAAGCACGACUAGGGGC
rnacentral:pre_miRNA from 1 species